GUUUCCGUAGGUGACCUGCGGAAGGAUCAUUA
rnacentral:rRNA from 1 species